AGCUUAUGAGCUCAAAUUGCCUUCAGAUCUAGCUUCACUCCAUCCAGUCUUCCAUGUCUAAUUUCUCAAGAAGUGCAUAGACCCAACAGUUGUAAUCCCUAUUCAGAGCGUUGACAUACAGAAUAGUCUAUCCUAUAAGGAAAUUCCGAUCGAAAUUCUGGACUAUCAGACUCUUAGACUGAGGAACAAAAAAGUCCCUCUAGUCAAAGUUCUUAGGAGAAACUAGUCUGUUGAGGGAGCUAAUUGGGAAGAAGAAGCAGAUAUGCAUACCAAGUAUCCUCACCUCUUCUUCCCCAAUUCAGAUCAAGCUCAAGGUAACAGUUCUCCUUAAGCUUAAUUAGUUUCCUGUUCAUAAUUCCAUUUACUGAUUUGGUACUAAAUAUCAUUGCAUUCAGUUAUGCAUACAUGUAACAGUUAAGUCACGUAAUCAUGCAUCAGAUAUGCAUGAGUUCAGCUUGUCAGUUAUACAUUAAAUAUGCAUGUUCAGUAUGUUCAGAUAUAUUCAGCCUAUCAUUCAGAUCAGUUAGGUCAUCAUGUUUCAAAUGUUGCAUCCCUUAAGUAAGGCCAGUACAUUAGUAAUCUCAACUUAGUCUCAUUCGAGGACUAAUGUUCCCAAAGGAGAGAUAUUGUAAUACCCCAAAAAUUCAGACAUUUUUAGGAUCAUGUUUCAAACUCAUGAGUAAUAAAUUUUAGUUCUUUGGUAGUUCUAUGAUCAAGGUUGAUGCAUAUUAAGUCCUCAAAAGUGUCCUAGCUAUCAGACGAAUCAAAAUAUUUCCUUACCGAUUAAAUUCUUAAGAAGGAUAUUGGUAUAGCUAACUUCAAAUGAGUAUAUCUCUCGUUAUACUAUGAAUUUCUAAGUUCAUGACCCACCAACAGAUAUAUAAAUGAAUUAUCUUUUCAACGAUACCAAUUUCGCCUAAAUCCGAUAUCAAAGCAAGGAGUUAUGCCCAUUUUACUCCAGUAUGUCAUGCUGAAAACUUUGUGACGACAAUCGUGAUGCGCCGUCAUGCCCGUGAUGGCCUAUCACCAAUAUCGUCAGACCUGGGCAGAUUUCUGACCCUGGUGAUGACAUUUUGUGAUGCGCCAUCACGCCCGUGAUGGCCUAUCACCAAUGUCGUCAGACCUUAACCAGAAACUCAAAAAUUCGACCCUUUAGUGACGACAAUCUGUAACGGCCUAUCACCAACCUGAUGGCCUAUCACGGAUGCCAUCAGAAAUAUUUUCUCCAGCAAUUUAAGGGCGUUUUAGCAGGGGUAUUUUGGUCACUUACCACUUGCCUAUAUAUGCCUAGAUAAGUCUGAAUUCAACCAUUUUGCUUAUUAUUAUUUCACAAACAAAAAUUAGGGUUUCUCUUUAAAUUUAAUCUCCAAGAGUAAAACCCAAAAUUCUUCAAGAAUCAAAGGAUUUCAAAUUCUUCAAGUUCAAAAACAUCAAGAACCUUGAGUUAAAAACAUCAAGAACCUUAAGUUAGGUAUGCGUAUUGUUCAUCCACGGAUUUCUUUCGUCCGUGGAGUUCAAGAAUCCAUCUUUAAAUACUAAAUCAUGAAUGUUUUGUGGUGAUAUGAUUGUAUUCAUGUUGGUUGUUGUUGUUUGUGCUAUAGAGUAGUAAAUUAAUGAAUUUUCAUGAAGGUUAUUAUCAUGUAAUUGGAACCCAUGAAGUUGGGUGGUUUUAGUGUGGUGCAAAUUUGGGAAUACAACUAUGCCUUAAAGAGUGCAUGAAAAGUGUUUGAUAAAAUGCUUGGAAUGCUAUAAAUCAAGUUUCCAUGACUCAAUAGUAUCUAAAUGGCAAGACAAUAUUAACCAUUAUAAUUUGAUAUGAAUUUCAUGCUCUAUGCUUUAUGAUUUCACAUGAAUUCCACGCUAUUGUUAUGUGUUAUGGUUGUGGUAUAGAAUGAGCAUGAUAUUGAAGCUAUGCAAGUAUAUACAUAUGGUAUGAAAUCCCUCUUCUUAUAUAUAAGAUGUUAACAAUCAUGAUUAGUAUGACAUCCUCUACUUAUGAUAUUGUAAAUUAUUGACUUUACUAGUAUGAUCAAGUCAGUCAUGUGUGUCAGUUUCCUUCCAUCUAGUCCUGGGGGUAUUCGUACCCAAAAAAUAUAGUUGUGUGCCUAGAGCCAUGUCAUGUUUUAUGAUAUCCAAAAUCAAGCCAUGAUUCAGUAGAAUUUAGUCAGUCAUGGGACUCAGGAAACCUCAUGAUCUCAGUCAGUUAUCAGAUAUCAGUAGUAUUUCAUCAGUCAAUGGAAUUUAGUAAGAUGAUUCCACGUACAGUCAGUAAAUCAUGUUAGGUCUCUUCAGAUGGGAGUAGAAGUUAGCACCGAGUUAACCCAAAGAUGGGAACACAUACUGCUAGAUGAGGGUUUGAGUCUUAGCAUUCAUCCUUGCAUUCCAGAACUAUGUAGCCAGCAUAGGUUGAGACAUCAACACCAUCAGAUGAGGGCCCUACCGUUCUCCUUCAGGAACACCAUCAAAUGAGGGUUACCCUUAGUUGUCCUUACCAGUGGCAUAGUAUUAAUAUCCUUCCAGUCAAAGGCAGAGAUUGGACCCCAUCUUAGCCAUAAUGAGACCUAUGGGGCAUGUCAGUUAAACAACUACCUCCCACAGUUUUAGUCUUAACCUCAGUAAAAGAACUCAAAUAGUUCUUCAGAUUUCAGUAUAUCAGGAUUAUCUGAUAUAGUUAAAUUUAGUUGCAGUACGGAACUCAGAUAGUUCCAUCAGAUUCAGGACUGUCAGACACAGUCACCCAUGUUAUCAGAACUAAAGUAUCAUCAUGUCAGUUAUCAGUAAAAUAUGUAUUAGCAUACAAAGCUAGAUUAUUAUGCAUUCACGAUUCCAGUUACUAUGUAUGCAUGUUUGCCCUCUCACGUUCAUAUUAGUUAGUCAGUUAGCAUUGUUCAUGUAUGUAAGCCCUUUUGUAUUUAGCGUACCUCACUUGUAUACUCAGUACAUUCCCACGUACUGAUGCAUAUGCGCCAUGGUGCUUUUUUUCAUGUUACACCAUAGGUCCAGAGACACAAAUCAACAAUAGAAUUCCAAUCGCAAAGUUACAGUGAGUCUUCAUCCAUUCGAGGACGAUAUUAUUUUUUUCAUUAUUUCAGUUCAGUUUUGCUAGAUGGAGUUAGUUGGAGACAUGUUCCUUCAACUCCUUAUUCAGAUAGUAUUUAGAGGCUUUCAGAUUAAGUUCAGAUUUGUUUCAGACUUCAGUUGUUUUGGAUAGUUGUUACCCCAUAUGGAUGUUAUGAUUUGUCAAAUAUUUUAUUCAGUUUAACCUUAUGGCCUGCUGUUCGUAUUUUCUACAUUUUAUAUAUAUAUUAUGCAGUGUACAGGUACGAAUAUCAAUCAUGGGUUAGCUUGUGUUCCUUCGAGGUCAUAAGCACCGUGUAGCAUUCCGAUUCAAUAAAUCGAGGUGUUACAGUUGACCAGUAUUAGUUGGUGGGUUGGAUUUUGUUUCUGAAAUGGGUAUGACUUGGGUGGUACAAGCUGUAUCGGUGGGUACAGGUUGUUUGGUUACUUUACUUAGUCUUAGACUUGGUAACUUGAGUUGGAUCUGAGUAUGAGUGGCUCACCAUGAGCUGUAAGACAAGGUACGAGUUGUACCAUAGACUCGUAUAGUGGUCAGUA
rnacentral:lncRNA from 1 species